rnacentral:tRNA from 11 species
AGCGAUAUAGUGUAACGGUUAGCACAACAGCCUCAUGACCUGUUAGAUUCGGUUCGAUUCCAGUAUUCGCUA